UCAAGUCAGCCAAACUUGCCACGCUCGUCCUGGACUAGGUUCUCCCAGUCUCGACUUGAUCUUGCCCAGGACAGAUGUGCAAGUUUGGCUCAGGCAGGUAGAUAAAGUCCAUUGGUGGAUUUUCCAUUAUCUAAUUGUUAUAAAAGUGCAGUUUCCUGGGCAGUGCUGGGACCAGCGCUGCUCCAGUUGACUAAUCACUCACCUGAUUCCCAGUGGGAUUUAGAUAAAAACAGAGGCUUCCGUUUCUCCCUUCCUCCCUGCUAACAGCGCUGGGUUCAGUGCUGUUCUAAUUCCCCUUUCCAAUUUCCUUUUGCUUCCCUGCUGUUGGAGCUUGUGGCUGCAGCUUAGGCAACCCCCCAACGGCCAGAUCGAGCACAGCUGAACAGCGGGUAGCUAUAUAAAUAGCUCAAACUUUUAUGGGAGGCUUCUCGUCCUCCAGAAUCAAUGCCAGCCAACUGAGAGGCUCUUUUCAGCACUCCCAUUCACCCACAGUGUUUUUAAGCCUCGGGGAACUGAUUUCUUAAUUAGUAAGACUUGGGAGUUGGAGCGCCACCGCCAUCUUGCAGACCGCGUGGCUGAUGAAGGUUGCCUUUGUGGGGAAAAGGGAGCAGGGGGAGAGGAUUUUUCCUCUUUAUCAGCUGUUUAUUGGUCUUUUGGGGGUUUCAUUGUCAUGAGGCUCACUUCUGUUUCUUCCCUAAUCCGUGGGGCUGAAGCUUUAAUUUCAUUAUGGCAGGAAGCCUGGCUAGGCAGCGGCCACCAUUUUGAACAGCCCUCAUGAGCCUUAAUUCGAGGCCCUGCAGGCCUUUUUAACUGUGGCCUCUUGUGGCUUCAUUCCUCGUUCAUUUUCUUUGAUCAUCCUCCUUUUAUUUUUCAAUUUUCUAAUCUUAUAUUUUGAUUUAAUUUAAUAAUUAUUCUUGCAGACCAAGGCAUCGGGCUCAUUUUGGGCCAAUCUGGUGUCUCCCUACCUGGUCACCAUCUGGUGAGCUAUAUAUCCGUAGUGGUCUCACGCAAGGAUAUUUCUGUUGCCCUCUCCCACAGCUCUGCCUGUUGCUCAUUGUUUGCCAAUUUUAUAUUGCUGGCCUGGCAAUAUUGUGUGCCUCACGAGCAGGCCGGCUGUUACUACCUUGGUGAUGUUACAGCAGCUGUAAACAAAACCGGUCUUUUGGAUACCACCGGUCUAAUGACCGGGGGGGGGGGGCAGGGCGAUAGUUAUCACCCACUGCCCUUGCUCCUUAACUGCCAAUUGAUCCUUGCCAGGGGUACCCUUUAGUGCACCUGAAGAUUAUUUACACCAGCAUGGAGGAAAACACGGCCUCCAAGUCCAAGGACGCCUCCCCUUCUUCGGGCCGGAAAUGGCACAGGUUCUCCAACCAGGAGGCUGCUGGUAGGAUCUCAGCCAAGGCCAAGGCUGUCUCUGGGAGGAAAACCUCCAAAUUUGCGGAGAAACAGGUCAGCAGGAGACAUCAGGCCUUGGAGAAAGAGUUUUCCAAGGCUCAGAAACAGGCCAGGGCCAAGGCUAUACAGCCUGAGGCCCCUCUUUUCAAUUUGCCACUGGGCCCCUCUACUUCUGCUCAGGAAGUCUGGUCACCAGCUUCUCCCGCUCCAUCUGGACCGGAAUUCGGUACACAAACAUACCAAUCUUUGCCACGGGAUCAACGGCCGGCUCCAGAGACGACUUUCAUCCCUAUGGCUGCGGGGCUCAGAGUAGAUCAGUCUGAUUUCCUUUCUCUUGAGGAUCGUCUCCAGUCUCUGGUUACUCAGGCGGUGGAACAGGCUCUUGCGGCCAGGUCGCCACAGGUACACAGACGAUUCUCCGCUCUCUCUUCUGCCUUCCCAUUCGGCCCAACAGAGUGGCCACGGACCUCCUUCUCCAUCCCAUUCCUCAUAUAGCGGAGUUUCAUCCCUCCCAGAGGAGGAUCAGGCUCUGGAUGCCUUGUGGUCAGAGGAAGAGGUUUCCUCUCUGGACCCGCCUCCAUUCGUUGGUCUAUUUAAUCCAUCUCUUUUUCUACCCUUGCUUCGUAAGGCUAGCGCUGUGGGACCUAAUCGUUCUGCUCCAGCGGCAACCACCCCUGAUUCAGACACAGACCCUGUCUUCAUCGAACUGGUAGUAACUCAACAUCAUGUACCCUGUCCGGCCUUAUUUCUCAAUGCAGUCAGGAAACAGUGGGUGUCUCCUGGUACCUUUCCCCUCCCUAGUGGGAACGAUAAAAAACUGUUUAGUGUGGCCUCAGACUUAGUGGAAGUGCCUACGGUGGAUGAGCCCUUGUCUCACCUUUUUUCCCCUACGACAAUCUCAGGGGAUAUGUCUGAGGCCUUAAAAACGGAGGACCGCAGAUCGGAACUGGCAUUUAGGAGAACACAUCAGGUGGCAACAUCUAUCAGGGCUGCUACUUCAGUUUUGUUCUUUACUAAAUCGGCUCUCAUUUGUCUUCAUCAGCUCCAGGUCAGGAUUCCCCCGGAGGAUGUUCGUACAAACCAGGACCUGAGCAAGUUAGUGGCCGUAAUGGAGUGCGCUGCCAGGUUCUCCUCCCCGGACCAUGGCUUUCAACGUAACAGCACGUCGUAUGCUAUGGUUAAGGCACUGGCAUGCUGACGUCAAAUCCAAAUGGCGCCUGGCAGCAGCUCCGACCAGGGUAGUAAGUUAUUUGGGGCUGCCUUAGACCCGUUUCUAACUGAAAAUAAGGACAAAAGGAAGAUACUUUUCCACCUUACUAAAUGGGCCGACAGAUGAACCAAUCCCUACGUCCGUCGACAGUCCUUUCGGUCUGGAACUACCCUCCCUAAUACACAUCCUCCCCGUCCAUUCAUGGCCAGGUAGGACCACCCAGUUGACAGACCGGCUUCCAGACCCAGGCAACAGUUUCAGGGCAAACGGCCCUUUCGAGGGGGAGGCCGGCCAUUCCUCAGAAAGUGACUCUCAAGUGGACCCUCCCAUAGGGGGCAGGCUGUCCCUUUUUGCCCACCAGUGGGAGGUCACCACCACAGACACCUGGAUCCUAAACACCAUUCAUUACGGUCUAUCUCAAAUUCGUUUCCAGCCCACCAAGGAGGUUCAUUUCUUGUCCCCAAUCAAACAAUCCAGUAAAGAGAGGCCUCAUUCAGGAGGCCAUCCGUCACCUAUUGGACAUAAGGGCCACAGAACCGGUACCACCAGACCAAAGGGGUUGGGGAUUCUACUCCAUCCUCUUUGUAGUCCCCAAGACUUCGGGAGGUUGGAGAGCGAUCCUGGACCUCAAAGGUCUAAAUUUCCAUCUUGCAUACCGAAAGUUCAAGAUGCAAACACUUCAGUCCAUCUUGGGCAGCAUCAGAAGGGGGGACUUCCUGACAUCCAUAGACCUCACGGAGGCGUACCUUCACAUUCCCAUCCUUCCCAAUCACCGUUGGUUUCUCAGAUUCAAUUAUAUGGGACAUCAUUAUCAAUACAGGGCACUUCCGUUCGGCCUGUCUUUGGCUCCAAGAGUGUUUACCAAGAUCCUGGCGGUCAUCGCCGCCCACCUGAGACUGGCGCCGGUUCAGGUACAAUGUUACCUGGGCAACAUUCUAAUCCAAUCGUCUGCUCCAGCCACAAUCAGACCUCAGGCAGGUGAUUGAGGUCCUCCAGAACCAUGGGUUCUUGGUAAACUUCAAGAAAAGCCAGAUGGUCCCUUUGACCAGACUGUUACACUUAGGAGCCUUUAUAGACACUGCAGAAUGCCGGGUCUAUCUGUCCCAAGAGCGCAGGGACAGCAUACAGAACUUGGUCCUCAAAGUCUGCAGAGACAGGACACUGUCACUUGUCAGUCUCUCUCAAUUACUGGGGAAAAUGAUAUCGUGCCUAGUGAUUGUUCUCUGGGCCAAAUUACGCUCAAGGUCCCUUCAGUGGUUUCUGCUUCCCUAUCAAAGGCUGGGCACCAGCACAUCCAACCGAAGGGUAAGGGUUCCUCCACAAGUCUUGAGUUCGCUCAGAUGGUGGCUCUGAGCGAACUCAAGGGUCCUUCUUCAAGGAACCCAUUCGGCUUACCAUCAUGACAGAUGCCAGUCUGUUCGGUUGGGGAGUGCGUCUUCAGUCACAGUGGGCCCAGGGACGAUGGUCUCGAUCAGACUUGAGGCACAACAUCAACUGGUUGGAGCUCAGAGCCAUACAUCUGGCUCUCCAUCACUUCCGCAACAGGGUUGCGAGACAACACGUACUGGUCCUCACAGACAACGUGGCGGCAAAGGCCCAUGUGAACCAGCAGGGGGGUACCCAAUCCCAUGCCCUCAUGACCGAGGCCCAAUUGUUGGGCUCCUGGGCAGAGACCAACCUUGCCUCAAUCAGGGCUGACCAUAUUUCAGGGGAGGCAAACAGACAAGCAGGUCAACAAUGGACCACUCAGAAUGGCGUCUGCACCCGGACAUCUUCAGGGAGAUCUCCGACAGAUUUGGUCUAUCAAUCAUAGACCUGUUCACUUCUCCGGCAAACGCACAAUUGCCUAGGUUCUUCUCCCGUUUCCCGUCUCCGGGGGCAGAGGAAGUGGAUGCUCUCCGGGUUCCAUGUCCGGAGGGCCUUUUCUAUGCCUUUCCUCCUCUUCCCCUUCUUCCGGCGGUCAUCCGCAAACUUCUACAAGAGAGGGCGGAGGUUCUUCUUGUGGCCUCAUACUGGCCAAGGAGACCAUGGUUUGCCGACCUCGUGAGCCUUUCCCUGUCUCAUCCUUGGAGGAUCCCUCCGGGUUGUGUCUUGCUGAACCAGGGGACUCUGAGUCACCCGGAACCCCAAUGGCUCCAGUUGGCCGUUUGGCACUUGAGCGCAGGAUCCUUUCCUGGGAGUCCUGCUCACCAGGGGUCAUUUCCAUAAUCCAGGCUUCUAGAAGACCGGCUACCAACCACAUCUACGAUGCCACGUGGAAAGAUUUUUGUAGGUGGUGCUCCAAACACAACCUGUCUUUUUCAAAUUUGACUAUUCCAAAUAUUCUGGAUUUUCUUCUAGAGGGCUUGAACAGGGGCGUGGUGCUCAAUACAUUACACAGACAGGUGGCAGUUCUUUCCACAUUGCUUGCCUGUGACUCUGCUGCAUCUCUGGGUCAACAUCCUUUGAUCUGCUCAUUUAUCAAGGGUGCAACUAACACUAGGCCCCCUGUCGUGCAUAGAUACCCUUCGUGGGAAUUGCCACGGGUUCUGCAAGCUGUUACUAGGGCUUCUUUCGAACCUCUCAGGUCGUGUGACAUGAGAGCAUUGUCUCUCAAGGUUGCCUUCCUGGUAGCUAUAACUUCAGCUUGGCGAAUUUCUAAGCUGGAGGCUCUUUCAGUUAGGGAUGACUUAUGUAUCUUUCAUCGGGACAGGGUUGUUCUUCGCCUAGACCCUACCUUUGUACCUAAGGUUAACACUCUGUUCCACAGGGCUCAGGAAAUCGUGCUUCCCGAUUUUUGUCCUAAUCCUUCUCACAAUCUGGAACAGCAAUGACAUUCUUUGGACAUUUGCAGGGCACUCCGUUGUUACAUCAACCGGACGGCCGCUUUCCGCAGCUCUGAGGCACUUUUCGUUUCGUUCCACCCUUCCAAGGGUCGGAAGGUUUCGGCUUCCACGAUUGGCAGGUGGAUAAGAGUUUGCAUUGCGGGGGCGUACCAGUCCGGGUCCUUGCCAGUUCCACAACGGAUCAUAGCUCACUCUACGCGCAGUGCAGCCACUUUUGCUGCUUGGUCAGCUCAAGCUUUCAUUGAGGACGUGUGGAGGGCGGCCACAUGGUCUUCACCCUCACCGUUCAUAUGGUAUUAUAAGCUGGACAGGUACGCAUCUGCAGAAACCUCCUUUGGCAGGAGGGUUCUUCAACAGAUCGUACCUCGAGACGUUCCAAACUUGGCUGCUUCCCUCCCUCAGGGACAGUAGGCUUUUGGAAUGUCCCAUUAGUGGAUUCUCCAUCUCCUGUGCUGGAGAAGGGGCAUUGUCUUACCUGAACACCUUUUCUCAGCACGGAGAUGGAGAAUGCACUUCCUCCCUCUUUUGGUCCUUCGGCCUAGGGUUAACGUCUAUGAGCCAAUACGUCUUGUUGUCAGUAAGUGGCUUCGCCCUUGUCGAGACUGGGAGAACCUAGUCCAGGACGGGCAUGGCCAGUUUGGCUGACUUGAUCUGAUUGGGCAGGAGGACAGAGUUAACCCAUUCGUGGAUUCUCCAUCUCCGUGCUGAGAAAAGACAUUCAGGUAAGACAAUGCCCCUUCUAAUAACAGUUGGGGAGUAGAAGCUUGUGGAAAACGCUAUGCCUUAUUAUCAGAGAUCAUAGAAUCAGUUGGAGAAGUUAUGGAGACCAACCUGCUCUGAAGCCAUUCCAUUGAUGAGAAAAAUGAUAUCCUAAUAUGUGGAAUUGAGUUUAGCUUUUUAAAUAGGAUAGGCUACUUUCCUUGGUGGUGAUGUCCCUGGAGAGCUGAACCUAAAAUUUUCAGCACCUGUUUAUAUUUUUAGGGAUUGAGAAUUAACAGAAAAUAAUUCUGGAUAGCUUACUGAACCAAUAUUUUAAUGGAAUCAUUUGUCUGCUUCAAUUCUGUGUGUUUGUGUUUUAUUUUCUGAAAUGCAAAACAAGAAAACUGGUCUUGAAUGCAUUGGAUGUUUACUGGUAAGUACCUGACUUUAAAUUAAAUCCAAUAUAUUAUCUGCAGCCAGGAUAGCACCUGAAAAGUAUGGAUAACAUGGUCAUUUUCUGAGAUAGUAUACUACCCUAGACAGUUUCUUGUACCACCUGUGAUCUCCAGAUGGAAUAAUUUAAUUUGGAUUACCAGGGCAUGUACUGCCAAAGUCAGGCUUUUUCAUCCAUAAAUUGCUAUAUUGGACUCACUAUCUGAAGCUAUGCAUAGACUCUCCCUACUGAGGCUAUAGGUGUGUUCAGUGAUCAUUUGGUAUCCAAGAGAAGCCAUAUAUCCUGUACUUCGCUCUAUAGGGCAAGUGUCACCUCAUGUAAUACUAGGUUAAGGACAGUUUCUGGAUAGAACUGCUCAGAGAUGAUGACCUUCCAGGCUAAUGUUUAUCUUUCUGUGAUUCAUCUUCAGGCAGCUGGCCUUCAUCUGGUCCUUCACAGCCCACAAGCAUUCUUCUGUUGAUUUGGAUCAGAUGAAAAAGACAAAAUUAAGAGGCAUUUGUAAAUCUCAUUCCAACACUCUGGACAGCCUUUCCCAAUGGCUUCAUACAGGCUUCAGCACAAUGGAAGAUCAGACCAAAAGCAAUGGAAUUCCCUGCAUGAUUGCCAUGCCAGUUAAAAGUAAUUGCCAUUGACUUGAUACAUAUUAUUUUGAAAUAUCUACCUUCUACAAUACAUGGACAUUGACAGUUGAACAAUCCAGAGACAGCUGCAACACUGAGACGCACAGUGGAAGCUUUGCUGGAAAGAGGAGCAGUGGUGAGGAAUUUGGAAAACUUGGGAGAAAGAACGCUGCCGUAUAAGAUAGUAAAGCACGAUGAGCAUCACAACAGAGGAG